rnacentral:rRNA from 1 species
UACGUAGGGGGCAAGCGUUGUCCGGAUUUAUUGGGCGAAAGAGCGUGUAGGCGGCCAGGUAGGUCCGUUGUGAAAACUCGAGGCUUAACCUCGAGCUGUCGGCGGAAACCAUCUGGCUAGAGUCCGGAAGAGGAGAAUGGAAUUCCCGGUGUAGCGGUGAAAUGCGCAGAUAUCGGGAAGAACACCCGUGGCGAAGGCGGUUCUCUGGGACGGUACUGACGCUGAGACGCGAAAGCGUGGGGAGCGAACAGG